rnacentral:tRNA from 1 species
GGGGCCGUGGUCUAACUUGGCUAUGACUUAAGGUUUGGGACCUUGCAGUCCCGGUUCAAAUCCGGGCAGCCUCA